rnacentral:tRNA from 1 species
GAUUUGGUAGCUCAGUUGGUAGAGCAUCUCCCUUUUAAGGAGAGGGUCCUGGGUUCGAGACCCAGCCAAAUCACCA